rnacentral:rRNA from 1 species
GACGAACGCUGGCGGCGUGCUUAACACAUGCAAGUCGAGCGGUAAGGCUCCUUCGGGAGUACACGAGCGGCGAACGGGUGAGUAACACGUAAGCAAUCUGCCCUUCUCAUCGGAAUAAGCGUUGGAAGCGACGUCUAAUGCCGAAUACGACCUCCUUUCGCAUGAUCGGAGGUGGAAAGCUCCGGCGGAGAAGGAUGAGCUCGCGGCCUAUCAGCUAGNGGUGUGGGUAAUGGCCCACCAAGGCGACGACGGGUAGCCGGCCUGAGAGGGUGACCGGCCACACUGGGACUGAGACACGGCCCAGACUCCUACGGGAGGCAGCAGUGGGGAAUAUUGGACAAUGGGCGAAAGCCUGAUCCAGCAACGCCGCGUGAGGGAUGACGGCCUGG